rnacentral:lncRNA from 1 species
CCGCAUUUCCUUCCCUCCCCACAAACUAAACUCAAAGAACUAGCUUGUGGUAUUUCUUUAGGCCAAGUUACUAACAAACAACCAUCAUGAAAGUCCAACCUUCAAUUCCCCUUUUCUCUCUCCUCUCGAGCGCCGCCAUACUCCUCCACCUCCAAAUAAUCCCGGCCGUCGUCGCCACUCCACCCGCCACCACAAACGAUUUCAUCCUAACAAGCUGCCAAUCAACUCUAUACCCCAACCUCUGCUUCCACUCACUCUCCCGCUACGCCAACCAGAUACAAAAGGAUCCGGCUCAGCUGGCUCGCGUAGCCAUCGGCGUCAGCCUGUCAAGGGCCAAACGGAU